GCAGCUGUGCAUGCUCUUUUGACUUGGAGACAACUCUUAUUGGGAAGAAAAGUGGACAUUUUCACUGAUCACAAGAGUCUCAAGUACAUCUUCACUCAGCCUAAUCUCAACCUCAGGCAAACUCGAUGGGUCGAAAUGAUUCAAGAGUAUAAUCCGAGCAUCGAGUAUACUCUAGGCAAGGCCAAUGUGAUUGUUGACGCAUUGAGCAGGAAAGCUUAUUGCAACAGUCUUAUUCUCAAGCCUUAUCAACCCGAGCUUUGUGAAGCUUUCCGCAAACUUAAUCUACAAGUUGUUCCUCAAGGCUUCCUCGCCAACUUUCAAGUCUCUCCUACCUUGGAAGACCAGAUUCGCCAAGCCCAGCUUCUUGAUGCUAUGGUGAAAAAGGUGAAGAUUGGGAUUGCCAAGAGUCAACCCAAGUACAAGUGCUACCGCCUUGAUGACAAGGAUACUCUCUUCUUCGAGGAUCGUAUUGUUGUGCCCAAAGGUGAACUCCGUAAAGUGAUCAUGAAUGAGGCUCACAAUUCUCUCCUCUCCAUCCACCCUGGGAGCACGAAGAUGUAUCAGGACCUUAAGCAGGCUUAUUGGUGGACUCGAAUGAAGCGCGAGAUUGCUCAGUUCGUGAAUGAGCGUGAUGUCUGCAGA
rnacentral:rRNA from 1 species